CAGAAACAGGGACGACUGAUGGGCCCCCCCCACCCCUCGAACAAGUGACAAAAGCGAUCACUCCGCUUUAGGAAGACGCACUUAAAUGUUCCUUUCGCCUCGUUGCAUCAGUGAUUUCCUUCACGUAAACAUAAACCGUUAGAUGUGAAUGAAGAUCACGAGCUGAAGGUGGGCCUACAGUGAGAGUAGGAAAGGAGAAGAUAUGAUCCAGUUGUCUCUGAUGAAAAGACCAAGUCUACCAGUAAAACGAAGGAUUAUCAGACAAUGUAACCUGUGUAUACUGCCAUCACUUUGCUGUCCAUGAUGCAUGAGAUGUUGAACAACUUCAGUGCAGAGACUACACCUAAACUGCCAUGAUGACCAUCAUAUACAGUCAGAAAUGUCCUUCCUCUAGACACGUGUGAAAGUUAGCCACAGAUGACCACUCCUGCAUGAUGUCAUCUCAGUCCACUGACCUAACAGCUCUGAAGGACUUGGAUCUUGAAGUUGCAUCACAAGUUAAGGGGAAAGAAUGAGAAAGAACAAUGAAAACAGGCACUGCGCCCUACUUGC